AUUGAACGCUGGCGGCAGGCCUAACACAUGCAAGUCGAGCGGAUGAGUGGAGCUUGCUCCAUGAUUCAGCGGCGGACGGGUGAGUAAUGCCUAGGAAUCUGCCUGGUAGUGGGGGACAACGUUUCGAAAGGAACGCUAAUACCGCAUACGUCCUACGGGAGAAAGCAGGGGACCUUCGGGCCUUGCGCUAUCAGAUGAGCCUAGGUCGGAUUAGCUAGUUGGUGAGGUAAAGGCUCACCAAGGCGACGAUCCGUAACUGGUCUGAGAGGAUGAUCAGUCACACUGGAACUGAGACACGGUCCAGACUCCUACGGGAGGCAGCAGUGGGAAUAUUGGACAAUGGGCGAAAGCCUGAUCCAGCCAUGCCGCGUGAGUGACGAAGGAUUUCGGUCUGUAAAGCUCUUUUCUGGGGAAGAAAUGAUGGAAGAGGAAAA
rnacentral:rRNA from 1 species